rnacentral:RNase_P_RNA from 1 species
CCAGUCGGCCGGACGGCCGCUGCCGGUGGGCGGACUUUGUGGUCAGACCCCAUCGGUGGAGGAAAGUCCGGGCUCCAUGGAAACACGGUGGCGGCUAACGGCCGCCGGGGGCGACCCCAGGGAAAGUGCCACAGAAAGCAAACCGCCUCAUUGUCUUUCGGGAUGGCGAGGUAAGGGUGAAAGGGUGCGGUAAGAGCGCACCGCGCGCUUGGUGACAGGCGUGGCAAGGUAAACCCCACCGGGAGCAAGACCGAAUAGGGGUGGCCGGAUGUGUUGAUCGACCGGCUCCACGCGACUUCAGCUCGUCAACACUGCGCAAGCGUGUGUUGAGCAAAGGAAGUGUGGACCACGAAAAACGACGUCGAACCUGUUUCCAGGUGAGCCACCCGGGUUGGUUGCUAGAGGCGUUCAGCAAUGGACGUCCCAGAUGAAUGGCCGUCGCGGAAGGUGGCCCAACACGACUUUAGGAAGUGUUGGCUGAAACCAGCCCAACACGACUUUAGGACGUGUUGGUCAUACAAAGCCUUCCAGACAGAACCCGGCUUACAGGCCGACUGGUGUA